rnacentral:rRNA from 1 species
UGGGGAAUUUUGGACAAUGGGCGAAAGCCUGAUCCAGCAAUGCCGCGUGUGUGAAGAAGGCCUUCGGGUUGUAAAGCACUUUUGUCCGGAAAGAAAUCCUUGGCUCUAAUACAGUCGGGGGAUGACGGUACCGGAAGAAUAAGCACCGGCUAACUACGUGCCAGCAGCCGCGGUAAUACGUAGGGUGCAAGCGUUAAUCGGAAUUACUGGGCGUAAAGGCGUGCGCAGGCGGUUUGCUAAGACCGAUGUGAAAUCCCCGGGCUCAACCUGGGAACUGCAUUGGUGACUGGCAGGCUAGAGUAUGGCAGAGGGGGGUAGAAUUCCACGUGUAGCAGUGAAAUGCGUAGAGAUGUGGAGGAAUACCGAUGGCGAAGGCAGCCCCCUGGGCCAAUACUGACGCUCAUGCACGAAAGCGUGGGGGAGCAAACAGGAUUAGAUACCCUGGUAGUCCACGCCCUAAACGAUGUCAACUAGUUGUUGGGGACUUCAUUUCCUUAGUAACGUAGCUAACGCGUGAAGUUGACCGCCUGGGGGAGUACGGUCGCAAGAUUAAAACUCAAAGGAAUUGACGGGG